rnacentral:rRNA from 1 species
AUUGAACGCUGGCGGCAGGCUUAACACAUGCAAGUCGAGCGGAGAUGAGGUGCUUGCACCUUAUCUUAGCGGCGGACGGGUGAGUAAUGCUUAGGAAUCUGCCUAUUAGUGGGGGACAACAUUCCGAAAGGAAUGCUAAUACCGCAUACGCCCUACGGGGGAAAGCAGGGGAUCUUCGGACCUUGCGCUAAUAGAUGAGCCUAAGUCGGAUUAGCUAGUUGGUGGGGUAAAGGCCUGCCAAGGCGACGAUCUGUAGCGGGUCUGAGAGGAUGAUCCGCCACACUGGGACUGAGACACGGCCCAGACUCCUACGGGAGGCAGCAGUGGGGAAUAUUGGACAAUGGGCGGAAGCCUGAUCCAGCCAUGCCGCGUGUGUGAAGAAGGCCUUAUGGUUGUAAAGCACUUUAAGCGAGGAGGAGGCUCUUUUGGUUAAUACCCAAGAUGAGUGGACGUUACUCGCAGAAUAAGCACCGGCUAACUCUGUGCCAGCCGCCGCGGUAAGAC